CUUACCCACCCAGACGGUUACCCUGGCAACUAGACGCCCAACAGCGGCAGCAGCAGUAGCAGAGCGAGGUGAAAAUAGUGAGAAUGUCUGCCAAGAAGAAAGAUGGCAGGACCAGCAAAGCGGAGAAAGAAAGGCUACAGAAAGAGGAAGAGGAGCGGAGGAGGAAGGAGGAAGAGGAGGCUCUUCUCAUCGCUGAGCAGGAGAGGCUGGAGAGAGAGCAGAGAGAAGAAGAGGAAAGACAGAGGCAUGAGUUAAAGGUUAGAUCAAUCUUAAGGUAAAAUUACAAGAUAGUAGGACUCCAAACGUCUACAUAUACUAAACAGGUGAGAAAUCUUAGAACACACCUGAUUUUUACCUUUAUUUUUGCCAUUUAACCCGUUUAAACCCUG
rnacentral:lncRNA from 1 species